rnacentral:rRNA from 1 species
CCCUUAGAGUUUGAUCCUGGCUCAGGACGAACGCUGGCGGCGUGCUUAACACAUGCAAGUCGAACGGGGUGUUUAUUUCGGUAAACACCAAGUGGCGAACGGGUGAGUAACGCGUAAGCAAUCUACCUUCAAGAUGGGGACAACACUUCGAAAGGGGUGCUAAUACCGAAUGAAUGUAAGAGUAUCGCAUGAGACACUUACUAAAGGAGGCCUCUGAAAUAAGCUUCCGCUUGAAGAUGAGCUUGCGUCUGAUUAGCUAGUUGGUGAGGGUAAAGGCCCACCAAGGCGACGAUCAGUAGCCGGUCUGAGAGGAUGAACGGCCACAUUGGGACUGAGACACGGCCCAGACUCCUACGGGAGGCAGCAGUGGGGAAUCUUCCGCAAUGGGCGAAAGCCUGACGGAGCAACGCCGCGUGAACGAUGAAGGUCUUAGGAUCGUAAAGUUCUGUUGUUAGGGACGAAGGGCAAGGGUUAUAAUACAGCCUUUGUUUGACGGUACCUAACGAGGAAGCCACGGCUAACUACGUGCCAGCAGCCGCGGUAAUACGUAGGCGGCAAGCGUUGUCCGGAAUUAUUGGGCGUAAAGGGAGCGCAGGCGGGAAACUAAGCGGAUCUUAAAAGUGCGGGGCUCAACCCCGUGAUGGGGUCCGAACUGGUUUUCUUGAGUGCAGGAGAGGAAAGCGGAAUUCCCAGUGUAGCGGUGAAAUGCGUAGAUAUUGGGAAGAACACCAGUGGCGAAGGCGGCUUUCUGGACUGUAACUGACGCUGAGGCUCGAAAGCUAGGGUAGCGAACGGGAUUAGAUACCCCGGUAGUCCUAGCCGUAAACGAUGGAUACUAGGUGUGGGAGGUAUCGACCCCUUCCGUGCCGGAGUUAACGCAAUAAGUAUCCCGCCUGGGGAGUACGGCCGCAAGG